UUUCCGUAGGUGAACCUGCGGAAGGAUCAUUAUUGUAUAACCGAGGUGCGAGGGCUGUCGCUGACCCGAAAGGUCGUGCACGCCCGAGUGCCCUCACACACAUCCAUCUCACCCCUAUGUGCACCACCGCGUGGGUCCCCCUUUGGCUUGUUCGGAGGGGGGCUUACGUUUUCACACAAACUUUGUAUGCAGUGUAGAAUGUAUUUUUUGUUCUUGCGAUCACGCAAUCAAUACGACUUUCAACAACGGAUCUCUUGGCUCUC
rnacentral:misc_RNA from 1 species